AUGAUGAUCCUUGCCCAGCCUGAGGAGUGAUGAAGUCGGUAUUAGCUGA
rnacentral:snoRNA from 1 species